rnacentral:lncRNA from 1 species
GAUUAACUGCGUGUCAAUAUAGGUAAAAACAUCAAAAUCUGAGCAACAUCCCUGAAGAUAUAGCUGAAAAAAGCUUUUCUACACCUUGUCCUUCUUAAAAGCAAUUCAUUUCCACAUAAGAAAGUAUUAUUAGACUUCACAAUAGUUUUGAAAUAUAAUAUUAAUUUGCAAGGUUAUUAUGGCCAAUAGCUCAAAAUAACUCUUGAAACUUACUAAUGACAUCAUCCUGUUUAUUAUUCCAUGGAGCUAGGUGGCAAAUGGUAGGCAUUUCAUUUUAGUGCUCUUGAUGAAUAAAUGAACAAACAAUUAUAUUUUUUGUUGAGUGUUCUUUAUCU